UGUGGAAUAUAGCAUAUAGUCGACAAGAGAAAUCUACGAAAAACAAACAAAACUUUCAACAACGGAUCUCUUGGUUCUCGCAUCGAUGAAGAGCGCAGCGAAAUGCGAUACCUAGUGUGAAUUGCAGCCAUCGUGAAUCAUCGAGUUCUUGAACGCACAUUGCGCCCCUCGGCAUUCCGGGGGGCAUGCCUGUUUGAGCGUCGUUUCCAUCUUGCGCGUGCGCAGAGUUGGGGGAGCGGAGCGGACGACGUGUAAAGAGCGUCGGAACUGCGACUCGCCUGAAAGGGAGCGAAGCUGGCCGAGCGAACUAGACUUUUUUUCAGGGACGCUUGGCGGCCGAGAGCGAGUGUUGCGAGACAACAAAAAGCUCGACCUCAAAUCAGGUAGGAAUACCCGCUGAACUUAAGCAUAUCAU
rnacentral:rRNA from 1 species